UUGGUCAUUUAGAGGAAGUAAAAGUACGUAACAAGGUCUCCGUAGGUGAACCUGCGGAAGGAUCAUUACCUAGAGUUGUAGGCUUUGCCUACCAUCUCUUACCCAUGUCUUUUGAGUACCUUCGUUUCCUCGGCGGGUCCGCCCGCCGAUUGGACAAACUUAAACCCUUUGUAAUUGAAAUCAGCGUCUGAAAAAACAUAAUAGUUACAACUUUCAACAACGGAUCUCUUGGUUCUGGCAUCGAUGAAGAACGCAG
rnacentral:rRNA from 1 species